rnacentral:lncRNA from 1 species
GAUGGUGAAUUGAAAACAGAUAACAGAACAUAGAUUACAACCAAACAGAUAAUCUUCUAAAAACCCUAACCCUAAAUGAUCUAACCACCGAAUCCGUACAAGGUACGGCCCUGUCGUUUAAGGGCAUAAACGACAUCCAUAGCAGUGACAGUUUUACGGCGAGCGUGUUCAGUGUAGGUAACAGCGUCUCUGAUGACAUUUUCCAAAAAGAUCUUCAACACGCCACGUGUCUCUUCAUAGAUCAAGCCGCUGAUACGCUUGACUCCACCUCUGCGAGCCAAUCUGCGAAUGGCGGGCUUGGUGAUUCCCUGAAUGUUGUCACGAAGAACCUUUCUGUGUCGCUUUGCUCCGCCCUUUCCGAGCCCCUUGCCUCCCUUUCCACGGCCAGACAUGGUUGAUUUGAGAUUGUGGGUUUGAUUGAUUGGUGAUGAAUUGGGUGGUGGGUGUUUGUGAUGGUGGAAAUGGGUGGGGUUUUAUAUAGGUGGGGUUUGUUAAAGGCGGGAUGUGAAAGUUUUUGAGUUGUGGAGGGUUGCAGAUUGGGGUGGUGGUGUUGAAAGGGUGGGAGGGGGUUGUGGCCGUUGGAUUUUGGUUAAAUCAACGGUGGAUGAGUGGUUGUGGAUUAUGAUCCGUGUGGUGUGUUUCUUGUGUGAGUGUAAGAGGCUAUCGUUAAUUCGUUAGAUGUGGUCGUGA